GACGGAGGGUGCGAGCGUUGUUCGGAUUGACUGGGCGUAAAGGGCGUGUAGGCGGUUGGUCAAGUCUGAUGUGAAAGCCCGGAGCUCAGCUCCGGAAGUGCAUCGGAAACUAGCUGGCUGGAGCGCGAUAGAGGAGGGUGGAAUUCCUGGUGUAGCGGUGAAAUGCGCAGAUAUCAGGAAGAACACCCGUGGCGAAGGCGGCUCUCUGGGACGGUACUGACGCUGAGACGCGAAAGCGUGGGGAGCGAACAGG
rnacentral:rRNA from 1 species